AAGACUAUAGACCUGCGGAGUACCUGCGGAGGGAUCAUUAUCGAGUUUUGACUGGGUUGUAGCUGGCCUUCCGAGGCAUGUGCACGCCCUGCUCAUCCACUCUACACCUGUGCACUUACUGUGGGUUUCAGACGGCGUAGCGAGCCUUUACGGGUUCGUGAAAGCGUCUGUGCCCGCGUUUAUUACAAACUCUUACAAGUAAAAGAAUGUGUAUUGCGAUAUAACGCAUCUAUAUACAAC
rnacentral:misc_RNA from 1 species